UAUAACAACGACAGUGAUGCUAAGUAACGCUGUUGUCUCUGUUGUCCAGGAUACGAAUAGAGGAAAAUAAGAGCAGUAAACACGGUACAAAUAUAAAGACUGUUCCCGAAGCAAAUCAGCUGGGCUCCUUGUGAUGUGCUAAUAGCAGUGUUGAAACCAAUGUUUUUGCACCGCUGCAAAUCAGGCUCAGAGGGAAGAUCCACUCUUGUUUACAUGCAGCUUAUUCUGUUUAUUUACCUGGAAUUUAAGGACAAGUUCAUUUAAAAGGUCAAAGGUCAAAGACACACACACAUGGUCGUCUGUUGAUGUCACGGCGUGUCGACCUGAGCAGAUACAUGUGCGGUAUCUUCAGGGCCUGGAUGCUGAUCGCUCCCCUUGUGUCCAUAUACACUUCUCAUGGCAAACCCAUCAGCGUCGUCUCCAGAGCUCCAGGCCAUUUGCGCUGACAUUUCCAACACUCUCCUUGUUACUCUGUGCGAGCAGGAGAAAUCAUUCCAUUCUCUCCACACCUUCUGUUAAAGGAGGCACCGGUGGUAGUGUUGUUGUUGUUGUUGCUGUUGUUAAAGACGAAGACGACACUGAUGGAGAGCUCAGGGACCGAGGAAAUACAGGAGACUCUGACAGUGGCUGACCUGGAGGUGAGACGGAGCAGCGUACCAGAUGCCACGCUGCACAUUUAGCCUGCGGUGCAACAACUGCCACGUGACCCUGCAGUCCUUUGUGGGAAAUGAAGGCGUCAUCACACUACAGCGGCACGAGCUGGACUGACAUCGCGCCGCAGCGCUCAAGGCGCUUGAUGUCCGUGACGCUGACCCGUCGCUCAUUUGGCAAACGAUGACAUCAUCAUCAGUGUGGAGGAUGCACCGCUGAUCAAAUCCUGUGAGACUGGAAAUAAAACCAACAGGAAGGAACCGUCAACACACAGCCGGGCGGAGUGGACCAGACGCCAAGUGGACCGUCAACACACAGACCUCUCAGCCAAUAGCCAUGCUGUAACACGCACACAGGAAACGCUUCUCUGGAUCUCAGGAGAAACAUCAGCUGCCUUUUAUUGAAGACUCCCGGGCCUCGAACACAUGCCUCACCCCGUCCUCUUUUUUUCACCAUCCCUGCAAAGAUGCCAGUGCCAGGGCUGACGCUGU